CUCAAACAACUGCUGGAGGACAGCAGAGCUAUUCUGGAUCAGACCAACUUAGUUCUGGUCCCAAUAAACAUCACCACAGUAUCUUCAUGGUGAGUCUUGUGUACUUUAUCAUAUAAUCAUCAAAGUUAUAAAAAUGAAAAUGCAAAAAAAAAAAGUGCUCCUACACUGACCAGCCACACCAUUAUGUACACCUGUACAAUCUGAUGCAACAGCUCUGUCAUGAGUUCUACUUUUACAAGGGUAUAAGGUUUUAUGUUUAAACGAUCAGAGAGAGGAUAAUUCUGCUGUGAGUUUAUUUUUGUGGUUUCAAUGGGUGGUGGAGGCAUGUAACGUUUAGUUUCUUUUAAACAGUCUGUUUAAAAAAAACUAAACAUUACAUUGAAAAUGGAAGACAAAAAGAAUCUACCGGUAAUUGCUUUAUUAGGUGGUGGAGGGAUACUAGAGUGCAUUAUAUUAAGAAGAGUUUCUAAUAUUUUGGCACACUAAUUUGAAAAAUUAUUGUAACCGUAACGCUAACCAUUGCAGGCUGCCCAGGAGGGACAAAUGGACAGACAAGGACAUGCUGCUGCAGGGCACUGUACUUCCCAAACAAGUGCACCUGGCAAGGGAGCCACUGCCUGAAGUGCGGACACUUCCAGCUGCUCCUGCAGAGCAUGGACAUGAAGCCAUGGUAUUUGAGGAACGAGAAAAUCAGGAGGGGAAAUCCACUAUUCGGAGGCGCACCUCAGACAGGUCAGUGGUAGCACAAUGUCCUGCAUGGUCAUGGCCCACCCCUCCUCCUGGAUCCUACCCACCUGCUCCACCCUCUCCAUAUCCCGCCCCUGGAUUCUACUCAUUUCCUAACUACCCACCCACUCCACUACAUCUUCCAUUUCCUUCUCCUGGAUGCUACUUACCAAUUCCACACUGCCCACCUCCUCCACAGUCAUUGCUUGCUGGUAACCAGCCACCUGUUACUCAUCCCCAACUUUGCCCUACUACUGAGCCUAGGCAGCGCGCUUGGAGGAAGCAGAAACAUGCACAGGAAGAUGCUGAGAGAGUGGCUAGGGGUGAACCACCACGGAAGCGCAUUACAAAGGAUGAAUAUCAUUAUACCUGCAAGAUCUGUCAGAAGGCAAAAAAUAAAGAAACUGGCCACACUCAGCUGAAGGGAAAGUGGCAUUGUCUAGCCUCAGGACUCUCCUUGGCACAAUGGAGGGAGAAUUUAAAUGGCAUUUUUUUAAGUGUGUGUGUAUUUGAAAAAGCGUUUGUACAUAAUUAAAAUGUUGUGCUUUGUGUUUGUUUGCAUAUAUUAAAAAUAAACAAUAAAGAAAAACAAUAAACACACACCCAUCCUGUGGGUGGAAGACUCCAGGUGCAAAUCCUGGCAAGAGUGUGUGAUGGUCAAGAUCAGACCUAAUUACUUUAUUCAGAACUUUGUGACUGGAAAUGAUAUCAAAUUGGGAGGUCACUCAAUAUUCUGGCCUAAUAUAAAUGUUUUUAACUUGGUGCUAUCAGAAACACCUUAAUAUAGGCCAGCCCAGUACAUGGCCUUCAUUAGGACCAGACUGCUAAAACACAGAAUUCAGUUAAUACGUGUUUCACAGUGUCAGCACAAACCUAUGCUAACAGGCAUCAUAAGUCAGUGAGAUAUAACAGUUGAUUGUAUUAGUAUGUAUUCACAAUUGUAAAUUCCUUGAUCUGUAUAUAUACAGCUGCAUGCUUUCAGUUUACCUUCCACUUACACAUCAAAUAGGAUUGUGUGUCAUGUUUUUGGCUGUGAUGUUUUUUAGAGGGAUGUUCUGACCCCGGAAAAGACACUUUACCCCCACAGCGAGGAUGGAAGUGCAGAUACAGAUGAUCAGAGCCCAGGAACAAGCCAACCUAAGAGGCCCUUAGAGAAAAAGAAAAGAGGAAAACGGGCCAAGACAGUGAAAGCAGUGGGAGAUUCUGACCUGUUGUCUCCGAUAAAGACACUUUGCCCCCACAGCGAGGAUGGAAGUUCAGAUACAGAUGAUCAGAGCCCAGGAACAAGCCAACCUAAGAGGCCCUUA